GACGAACGCUGGCGGCGUGCUUAACACAUGCAAGUCGAACGGUGAAGGGACCAGCUUGCUGGUUCUGGAUGAGUGGCGAACGGGUGAGUAACACGUGAGUAACCUGCCCCCUUCUUCUGGAUAACCGCAUGAAAGUGUGGCUAAUACGGGAUAUUCUGGGUCUGUCGCAUGGCGGGCCCGGGAAAGAUAUUGCUUCGGUGGGGGAUGGGCUCGCGGCCUAUCAGCUCGUUGGUGGGGUGAUGGCCUACCAAGGCGGUGACGGGUGGCCGGCCUGAGAGGGUGGACGGUCACACUGGGACUGGGACACGGCCCAGACUCCUACGGGAGGCAGCAGUGGGGAAUAGUGCACAAUGGGCGCAAGCCUGAUGCAGCGACGCCGCGUGAGGGAUGGAGGCCUUCGGGUUGUAAACCUCUUUCGCCAGUGAAGCAGGCCUGCUCCUUGUGGGUGGGUUGACGGUAGCUGGAUAAGAAGCGCCGGCUAACUACGUG
rnacentral:rRNA from 1 species